AGAGUUUGAUCCUGGCUCAGGAUGAACGCUAGCUACAGGCUUAACACAUGCAAGUCGAGGGGAAACGACAUCGAAAGCUUGCUUUUGAUGGGCGUCGACCGGCGCACGGGUGAGUAACGCGUAUCCAACCUGCCCACCACUUGGGGAUAACCUUGCGAAAGUAAGACUAAUACCCAAUGACGUCUCUAGAAGACAUCUGAAAGAGAUUAAAGAUUUAUCGGUGAUGGAUGGGGAUGCGUCUGAUUAGCUUGUUGGCGGGGUAACGGCCACCGAAGGCGACGAUCGAGUAGGGGUUCUGAGAGGAAGGUCCCCCANAUUGGAACUGAGACACGGUCCAAACGUCCUACGGGAGCA
rnacentral:rRNA from 1 species